GUUGAGUGCCUUGCACACUUUUGUUCUUCCCUGUUCUUCAAGGACUUGUGAAGAGAUCCUCUGGGAUCCCCUAAUUCGUGCUCUUGGUUUUCGAGUCUUUUGUGUGGAUUAGUCUUGGAUCGUGGUUCUGCGGUCGUUUGGAGAUCGAGUCGAAGUCCUUAAGGUUUCAGUGUCUUUCUCCCCGUCGCUUGGUCGCAUCCAACCUUGGUCAGGUAUUAAGCAAGUUAUCCCCACUGAAAUCAACGUACAGUUCAGUAUAUACAUCCGUUCCAUAUUUCCACGACGACACAUCUAUUUAUAUCAAGUACAUUUUCGUGUAAUUUUAGUAGUGCACAGUGGAUCAGUGGGGGAAAACCAUUAUAGCCAUCGACAAUGUCUUAUUCUCCUGCA
rnacentral:lncRNA from 1 species